rnacentral:rRNA from 1 species
ACAUGUGUUACUCGUCUUGACUGGGCGUAAAGGAUGCGUAGGCGGUUAUUUGAGUUUAAAGUAAAAUUUUAAGUUUUAAAAAUAACUUUUAAUACUAAAUAUCUUUGAGUUUAGAAGAAGGAAAAAGUACUCAUAAUGUAGAGGUGAAAUUCGGUGAUAUUAAGGGGACUACGAAAGCGAAAGCAGUUUUCUAGUUUAAAACUGACGCUGAGGCAUUACAGCAUGGGGAGCAAACAGG